GACGAACGCUGGCGGCGUGCUUAACACAUGCAAGUCGAACGGAAAAGCCCUGCUUGCAGGGUACUCGAGUGGCGAACGGGUGAGUAACACGUGGGAGAUCUGCCCUGCACUUCGGGAUACGCUUGGGAAACUGGGUCUAAAACCGGAUAGGCCCCAUCUUGAGAGUGGGGGUUGGACAGAUUUUUCGGUGUCGGAUGAGCUCGCGGCCUAUCAGCUAGUUGGUGGGGUAAUGGCCUACCAAGGCGGCGACGGGUAGCCGGCCUGAGAGGGUGAACGGCCACAUUGGGACUUAGAUACGGCCCAGACUCCGACGGGUGGCAGCAGUGGGGAAUAUUGCACCAGGGGCGCCAGCCUGAUGCAGCGACGCCUCGGGGGGGAUGAAGGCCUUCGGGUUGUAAACUCCUUUCGCUAGGGACGAAGCUUUUUGUGACGGUACCUAGAGAAGAAGCACCGGCUAACUACGUG
rnacentral:rRNA from 1 species